GAUUGAACGCUGGCGGCAGGCCUAACACAUGCAAGUCGAGCGGCAGCGGGUCCUUCGGGAUGCCGGCGAGCGGCGGACGGGUGAGUAAUGCCUAGGAAUCUGCCUAUUAGUGGGGGAUAACUCGGGGAAACUCGAGCUAAUACCGCAUACGUCCUACGGGAGAAAGUGGGGGAUCUUCGGACCUCACGCUAAUAGAUGAGCCUAGGUCGGAUUAGCUAGUUGGUGAGGUAACGGCUCACCAAGGCGACGAUCCGUAGCUGGUCUGAGAGGAUGAUCAGCCACACUGGAACUGAGACACGGUCCAGACUCCUACGGGAGGCAGCAGUGGGGAAUAUUGGACAAUGGGCGAAAGCCUGAUCCAGCCAUGCCGCGUGUGUGAAGAAGGUCUUCGGAUUGUAAAGCACUUUAAGUUGGGAGGAAGGGCUUGUGGCUAAUAUCCACGAGUUUUGACGUUACCAACAGAAUAAGCACCGGCUAACUCU
rnacentral:rRNA from 1 species